UACGUAGGUGACAAGCGUUGUCCGGAUUUACUGGGCGUAAAGAGCGCGCAGGCGGUCGUUCAAGUCGAGUGUGAAAGCCCCCGGCUCAACUGGGGAGGGUCAUUCGAUACUGAUCGACUCGAAGGCAGGAGAGGGAAGUGGAAUUCCCGGUGUAGUGGUGAAAUGCGUAGAUAUCGGGAAGAACACCGGUGGCGAAGGCGGCUCUCUGGACCGACACUGACGCUGAGGCGCGAAAGCGUGGGGAGCAAACAGG
rnacentral:rRNA from 1 species